AGACUAUAUCUGUAACUGAAAAGAUUGUAACUGAAAAAAUUGUGACAAAUGUAAUGCUAUUGAAGCUCUACUAAAAGAGGGGAAUGGAGGUUAUAGCACAAGAUCUGUUUGUGCCUCCAUUGCCUCUAAUGACGCUGAAACAGUUUUUGCAGUGUGAAAAUCAGUUGGAAGUAAAUAUCAACAUGAGAAAACAAUUUGAACAUGUCGAAUCAGAAGUUCGACGGGUAAACAGUUUAUUAGAAAUACUUUAUCACAAAUUAUCUCUAAUGAAAUAGUCACUCAAAUAUCAUGGACAGGUCAGAAGAGUGAUGUAAGCUUUAAAUCUACAUCCAUAUCCAACUAAUAAUCGACUCAGUGAUGAAACGGUUACCAAGUUCGACGUCUGCCGAAUUAGAAGAAGCCAUAAUUGGAAUGUAGCUUGGUUGCCCAUACUAAGGCUAUAAUAUGCAGAGUAUUCGCAUUCGCUAUUUUUAAUCCCUUUGUCUCUCAGAAGCCAUCAAAAAAUGGUUUCAUCGCUCAGAUGAUAGAAUAAAAAGCGUUACAAAACAAAAUAAACAGUAUAUAAAAUUAGUAUAAACAAUAUAUAAAAUAUAAUAAAACAUUACUAUAUUAAAAUCAUUUUUUAAAUAAAUAUAAAAUAUAUAAAUG